GACGAACGCUGGCGGCGUGCUUAACACAUGCAAGUCGAACGGAAAGGCCCUGCUUUUGUUGGGUGCUCGAGUGGCGAACGGGUGAGUAACACGUGAGUAACCUGCCCUUGACUUUGGGAUAACUUCAGGAAACUGGGGCUAAUACCGGAUAUGAUCUCCUGCUGCAUGGUGUGGGUUGGAAAGUUUCGGCGGUUGGGGAUGUACUCGCGGCUUAUCAGCUUGUUGGUGGGGUAGUGGCUUACCAAGGCUUUGACGGGUAGCCGGCCUGAGAGGGUGACCGGGCACAUGGGGACUGAGAGACGGCCCAGACGGGUAAGGGAGGCAGCAGGGGGGAAUAUGGCACAAUGGGCGGAAGCCUGAUGCAGCAACGCCGCGUGCGGGAUGACGGCCUUCGGGUUGUAAACCGCUUUCGCCUGUGACGAAGCGUGAGUGACGGUAAUGGGUAAAGAAGCACCGGCUAACUACGUG
rnacentral:rRNA from 1 species